rnacentral:rRNA from 1 species
CCCUUAGAUGUUCUGGGCCGCACGCGCGCUACACUGAUGCAUUCAACGAGUCUAAAACCUGCUCUGAUAGGGGUGGGUAAUCUUUUGAAUGUGCAUCGUGAUUGGGAUAGAUGAUUGCAAUUUUUCAUCUUCAACGAGGAAUGCCUAGUAAACGCAAGUCAUCAGCUUGCAUUGAUUACGUCCCUGCCCUUUGUACACACCGCCCGUCGCUCCUACCGAUUGAAUGAUCCGAUGAAUAUCAUGGAUUGAGGAUGCAAGCAGGUUCGCCUGUCUUCAUCUUCGAGAAGUGAAGUAAAUCUUAUCAUUUAGUGGAAGGAGAAGUCGUAACA